GAGGUCUCCUGGCUGACCUCCCCACCGUCCCCAAUCCCGAGCCCAGCCCUGGUUCUACUGCACAAGGGCUGCAAUUAUCUGGAGGAAGGAUGGACUCAGGGAAACAUCCGGAGCUCCUGAAAGCGCUCCGUCAGUCAGCCUGUACCCGGGUACUUGGGCCUACCUCCAGGAGGCAAAGACCCAUCUAACUGGGCCUGCGCCCCAAGGCUGGGGAGGGGGUGCUCUGCCCUGAAUGCCCACUGGAGAUGGGGGGGAGAGGGAGGGGUCAGAUCUCUGCUAGAGAGGGGAGAGCCAGGCCCCACUAGGCAUUGUGGAGGAUUUCUGCUCACUAGAAGAACUCUGGCCCCAGGGGUUAGACCAAGCAGCAGGGACAGCCUUGGGGGCUUCAGGGUCCUAAGCCAGCGGUGAGAGCUGUCCAGAGGUCACGCGGGGAGUGUGAGAGAAGCCAACAGCAGAGCCUGCUCUAGUGGGCAUUUAUAAAUGCUUGUCUCCUCCUCCCAGCUUUGCUUUCUUAGCACCUCUGGAAAUAAGCAGAGUAAGUGGCCAAUUCCUCCAUCAUCAGGUCUCAAAAACAGCUGAUUUCACUCUGAUGACCUGCCCCAAGCUGCACCCUGCCCAGGAGCAAAUCCGAGGCUUGGCGGCAAAGAUCUUGGGUUGAAAUCGUGGCCCUGCCACUUACAUCCCCACCAGCAAGAAUGGGGGGUCCAUCGGGUCCCAAGGCUUGCCUGGUUCUCGGGGUUACUUGGAUUUUUCUAACUUUGAACUUAAAAAAAACUGUUUUUCUACUGAGCAAAAAUUGGCCUCUGGGAAAUCUCUACCCCCUGGUGCUAGUUGUCCCUCCGGGCUCCGGCAGAACCUGAUUUUCACAACUUGUUCUUUCUAAAAACAGAAUCCAGAGCACCUUGAACUUGAAACCUGAGAGUCCAGCUAAGGGAUGGGCUGCAGCCCACUGACUUCACCCACAGUGUGUUCUGGCCCCCACAGUGGUCCCUGCUACCCCCCCCAGACACCCCUUCUCUCUAAACCUCAGUAGCCUGGUCACCCAGACCCCCCCCCCCCAACCUGCCUCAUUCACUCCCCUUGGCCCCAGAUUUGUGCCUUUGGUCUCUCUACUCCCACACUAUCAUUUGGCACAUUGGCCGGCACACAGAAGGUGCCUAAUAAAUGCUUAUUGACAGUUUGACCAAGCAGACAUGGCCUUAAGCCCAUGUCUUAUCACUGGGUCCCAAGUACACAACAGCAAGAAGGUUUGCAACAAAAUAAUUGAAUCAGAGAGAGGAGAGACCUUAAUCCUUAUUCAAUCAUCCAAAUCCUCCAAACAAGCUGCCCAGAUUAGGAGCGCGCCGAGGGGGGACAGGGGAACCCAGGACAAGGAGGAGGCCACAAAGAACAGAACAGUCAAGGAGCUGAUAAGCCCAGGAGGGAGAAGAAACCUUCAAGCACAUCUAGUCCCCAAAGCUUUCAGAGGAGGAGUCAAGGCCAAGGGGAAAGGAGGAGGGAGGAGGGAGGAGGGAGGAGGGAAAGCUUCCACAAGGCCAUCAGCCCCAAGCAGGAGCCCCAGGGCCCGCCUUCCUUCCUCUCCUUGUUCUCCAUCUGAGGCUGCCCAAUCUGCGUCAGGGACCCAAGAGGUCUUCAGUUGGAAAAGCUCAACCAUGACCUCAUGUGUGGCGGAUCUGCAAACCAGGCUUUCCAAGGGGCUCCCCCUGCCCGCCUCCAGCCCCCAAGGCUGAAUUUCCCCCUAAAAGAGCGGUUCAAUUCUUCCCAGGCCCAAGCCCACUCCGGCUCUUUCUCCUUCCCCCAGCUAACCCCCCUCAGUCUCCGGAACUUCUCGGGCUGGAAGCUGCCAGUCAGGCCUCAGGGCCUAUUCCUGGAAAGGAUUCUCCCAAACUCCGGCAAACUUCCUCAAUGACCCUGCUGCUCUCCCGCAGCUCCUUUAGUCUGAAACCUCUUCCCCUAAAUAAACCUUUCUUUUGACAAA